AUUGAACGCUGGCGGCAGGCCUAACACAUGCAAGUCGAACGGUAACAGGAAGAAGCUUGCUUCUUUGCUGACGAGUGGCGGACGGGUGAGGAAUGUCUGGGAAACUGCCUGAUGGAGGGGGAUAACUACUGGAAACGGUAGCUAAUACCGCAUAACGUCGCAAGACCAAAGAGGGGGACCUUCGGGCCUCUUGCCAUCGGAUGUGCCCAGAUGGGAUUAGCUAGUAGGUGGGGUACCGGCUCACCUAGGCGACGAUCCCUAGCUGGUCUGAGAGGCUGACCAGCCACACUGGAACUGAGACACGGUCCAGACUCCUACGGGAGGCAGCAGUGGGGAAUAUUGCACCAUGGGCGCAAGCCUGAUGCAGCCAUGCCGCGUGUAUGAAGAAGGCCUUCGGGUUGUAAAGUACUUUCAGCGGGGAGGAAGGGAGUAAAGUUAAUACCUUUGCUCAUUGACGUUACCCGCAGAAGAAGCCCCGGCUAACUCCGUG
rnacentral:rRNA from 1 species